rnacentral:rRNA from 1 species
GCAUAAUCAUUUGCCCCUUAAUUAGGGGCUAGCAUGAAUGGACAAACGAGAUUAUACCUGUCUCCUUUAUACCUAUAAAAAUUAAUCUACAGGUGAAGAAGCCUGUAUUCCUAUAAAAGACAAGAAGACCCUGUCGAGCUUUAAUUAUUUAUAAUAUAACGCAAUAUCUAUGCCCCCUCUUAUAAAUAAUCUUUGUUGGGGCGACAAUGGAGCAUAAAAACCCUCCACUACAAUCUAGACAACAAGUCACCCAAAAAAUCCCCAAAAGGAACCUGGAACUAGCUACCGCAGGGAUAACAGACUAAUCUUCCUCAAGAGCCCAAAUCUACAGGAAGGCUUGG